rnacentral:rRNA from 1 species
UACAGAGGUCCCAAGCGUUGUUCGGAUUCAUUGGGCGUAAAGGGUGCGUAGGUGGCGCUGUAAGUCGGGUGUGAAAUUUCGGAGCUUAACUCCGAAACUGCAUUCGAUACUGCCGUGCUUGAGGACUGGAGAGGAGACUGGAAUUUACGGUGUAGCGGUGAAAUGCGUAGAUAUCGUAAGGAAGACCAGUGGCGAAGGCGGGUCUCGUGGACAGUUCCUGACGCUGAGGCACGAAGGCCAGGGGAGCAAACGGG